rnacentral:rRNA from 1 species
CCUACGGGAGGCAGCAGUGAGGAAUAUUGGUCAAUGGGCGCGAGCCUGAACCAGCCAAGUCGCGUGAGGGAAGACGGUCCUAUGGAUUGUAAACCUCUUUUGUCGGGGAGCAAAAGACGCCACGCGUGGCGUUCCGAGAGUACCCGAAGAAAAAGCAUCGGCUAACUCCGUGCCAGCCGCCGCGGUAAUACGGAGGAUGCGAGCGUUCUCCGGAUUUAUUGGGUUUAAAGGGUGCGCAGGCGGAAGAUCAAGUCAGCGGUAAAAUUGAGAGGCUCAACCUCUUCGAGCCGUUGAAACUGGUUUUCUUGAGUGAGUGAGAAGUAUGCGGAAUGCGUGGUGUAGCGGUGAAAUGCAUAGAUAUCACGCAGAACUCCGAUUGCGAAGGCAGCAUACCGGCGCUCAACUGACGCUCAUGCACGAAAGUGUGGGUAUCGAACAGGAUUAGAUACCCUAGUAGUC